CCUACGGGGGGCAGCAGUGGGGAAUAUUGCACAAUGGGGGAAACCCUGAUGCAGCGACGCCGCGUGAGUGAAGAAGUCUUUCGGUAUGUAAAGCUCUAUCAGCAGGGAAGAAAAUGACGGUACCUGAUUAAGAAGCCCCGGCGACCGCCGUGCCAGCGGCCGCGGUAAUACGUAGGGCGCAAGCGUUAUCCGGAUUUACUGGGUGUAAAGGGAGCGUAGACGGCAGCACAAGUCUGGCGUGUACUGCCGGGGCUUAACCCCGGAACUGCUUUGGAAACUGUGCAGCUAGAGUGCAGGAGAGGUAAGUGGAAUUCCGGGUGAGGCGGUGAAAUGCGUAGAUAUUAGAGGGAACACGGGUGGCGAGGGCGGCUUACUGGACUGUAACUGACGUUGUGGCUCGAAAGCGUGGGGAGCAAACAGGAUUAGAUACCCUAGUAGUC
rnacentral:rRNA from 1 species